CAUAGAUAGGAAAAUUCAGCUUAGCAUGACUCUAAAUGAGGACGAAAGCAACAUACAAACGGAGCUUUGUAAGAAUAGCCUAAAUUCGACAAGGGAAAUCAAUGCCAAACAAACAUUUCAGUAACAUAAGAAUGGACAUCUUAUCGACUCAUUUUAUCAUUUCAACCGAAUCAAACUCGUCACAUGCUAACUAGUCAGGAAGACUAUCAAAGGAAUAAACAACCAACAACAUUAGAAAAACAAGAUUCUAGAGACACAAAACUUAAUUAGCGACCAAACAUAAGCAGAUGAUUUCUAAUCUUGUAUAUAUCGUGUCGGAAUAGGAGAGAUAAA
rnacentral:lncRNA from 1 species